CUCUCUGUAUCAUCUGAAGAUGUAAUACAUGAAACGCUCGUGGUAGAUAAAAACUUUAAUUAAAGGGGAAGAAUUGUUAAUGUAAUUAUAAACAAUAAUAAAAUGUUUUAAAAUAAAUAAGCAACAAAAAUUUAUUAGUUUAAUGAUUAUUCUAAAUAACAAAAUCUCUUUUUUAUAUCAAUUGGAGUAAAACAUGUGACGUUUGGAAUGGAGUAAAACAUAGAUUCCAAAAUGGAGCGAUUUCAUUUACAUGUGAAUGAUAAAAAAAAUUCUUUGGAUAAAGAACGUAAAUAAAAAUAGAAAAUUUAAUGAAAAAUCAAAAUUUUAAAAGUGAUGGAAUAAAGUUCAAAGCAGUUGCUGUAGAUAUAAUCAGGGACAUAAUAAAUAAUUAUAUUCAUAAUGAUCUUCCAUCAGAUGUGAACUUUAAGGUAAUGAAACUGAAUUCAAAUGAAACAGAUGUAGUUUUGCCAGUAUGUCACCAACAUGUGUCAAAUGAUUUGAUAUUCAAAAUUUUGCUGCCACAACAAGUUGAUGAUCUUAUUCAGAAGAAAAAAAAGAAACCCUCUAUAUGUGUAACUUGCAAUUCAAAUAUUGCAAAAAUGAAGUUCCUACCAUGCUACCACAUUGUUUACUGUCGAAGUUGCUGUGCGUUAGCAGAAGCAUGAGAAUGAUGACUUCAGGUGUCCACUCUGUCGAAGAGUAAUAACUGAGACGAUUUUACGGCGUUAAAUUUUAUUAUAAUGAUAAUUUUCACAUUAUUCAGUUUGAAGAUUAUUACGUUUUAUCUUAAAUUAAUAACUAUGUUUUAUGAAUAAAAUAUGAAUAAUAAACAUUA